AUUGAACGCUGGCGGCAUGCUUUACACAUGCAAGUCGAACGGUAACAGGGAGCUUGCUCCGCUGACGAGUGGCGAACGGGUGAGUAAUGCGUCGGAACGUGCCGAGUAGUGGGGAAUAACGCAUCGAAAGGUGUGCUAAUACCGCAUACGUACUGAGGUAGAAAGUGGGGGACCUUCGGGCCUCACGCUAUUCGAGCGGCUGACGUCUGAUUAGCUAGUUGGUGAGGUAAAGGCUCACCAAGGCGACGAUCAGUAGCGGGUCUGAGAGGAUGGUCCGCCACACUGGGACGUGGACACGGCCCAGACUCCUACGGGAGGCAGCAGUGGGGAAUUUUGGACAAUGGGCGCAAGCCUGAUCCAGCCAUGCCGCGUGUCUGAAGAAGGCCUUCGGGUUGUAAAGGACUUUUGUCCGGGAGCAAAUGCUGGUGGCUAACAUCCACCGGAGCUGAGAGUACCGGAAGAAUAAGCACCGGCUAACUACGUGCCAGCCGCCGCCGUAAAAC
rnacentral:rRNA from 1 species